GCAAUGCAUGUUGCAACAGUUGCAAUUCAUCCUCUUAUGAUUGCUGGCUGGUGUGGCUUAACAACAACUGCUUUUAAUAUGCUUCCAGUUGGAUGUCUUGACGAUGGAAGAGCCGUGCAGGGCGCUUUUGGAAAAAAUUCUCUAGUUGGAUUUGGUUUGACAACUUACACGAUGCUUGGAUUAGGAGUGGUAAUAUCUCUUUGAACCUUACCAUAAUGAUUUUGCUUUGGGUAUUUGUCUCUAUUAGUCUUUGAACUAUAAUCUACUUAUUACA